CACGUAGUUAGCCGGCGCUUCUUCUGCAGGUACCGUCACUUUCGCUUCUUCCCUACUGAAAGAGGUUUACAACCCGAAGGCCGUCAUCCCUCACGCGGCGUCGCUGCAUCAGGCUUGCGCCCAUUGUGCAAUAUUCCCCA
rnacentral:rRNA from 1 species